GCGGCCACCCGGCCGACCGCCGAGCGCAGCCACCCGCCGCUGCCCGGGGAGCGUCCAAGAUGUGGGGGGACUGGGGCGGCAGCGGCCGCCGCGGCGCCAGGGACCGGGGCGCGCAGCAGCCUCCGCUCGCCCGCCUGUGCUGACCUGCCUCGCUUGCCCCCAAAGAAUGUCAGCCAAGUCCAAGGGGACCCCCUCCUCGUCCUCUCCAGCCGAGGGACCGCCGGCAGCCUCCAAAACCAAGGUGAAGGAACAGAUCAAGAUCAUCGUGGAGGAUCUGGAAUUAGUCCUGGGCGACCUGAAGGACGUGGCCAAGGAACUUAAGGAGGUGGUUGACCAGAUUGAUACCCUGACUUCUGACCUACAGCUGGAGGAUGAGAUGACCGACAGCUCCAAAACGGACACCCUGAAUAGUAGCUCAAGUGGGACAACAGCCUCCAGCAUAGAGAAGAUCAAAGUGCAGGCCAACGCCCCCCUCAUUAAACCCCCAGCCCACCCGUCUGCUAUCCUCACCGUCCUGAGAAAGCCAAACCCUCCCCCUCCCCCUCCACGGUUGACACCUGUGAAGUGUGAAGACCCGCAAAGAGUGGUGUCCACUGUCAAUCCGGUAAAGACCAAUGGCACCCUUCUGCGAAACAGAGGCUUCCCAGGGGCACCAAACAAAAUUCCAAACGGAGACGUUUGCUGCAAACCCAGCAGUAACUUGGACAAGGCUCCAGUGCAGCCUCUGAUGCACAGACCUGAAAAAGACAGGUGCCCCCAAGCAGGGCCUCGGGAGCGAGUUCGGUUUAAUGAAAAAGUCCAGUACCAUGGCUAUUGUCCUGACUGUGACACCCGGCAUCACAUAAAAAAUAGGGAGGUCCACUCACACAGCGAACCUGUCCACCCACCAGGAAAGCUUCCUCCCCAUGGCCCUGCCCAGCCUCCUCCCCCUCACCUCCCUCCUUUUCCACUAGAAAACGGGGGGCUGGGAAUAAGCCACAGUAACAGCUUCCCCCCACUCAGACCUGCACCUGUGCCUCCUCCCACUGCACCAAAACCACAGAAGACGAUCUUGAGGAAAUCAACCACUACAACAGUGUGAUGUAUGCCAUUUAAAAAAACUUUUUUGUUUUUUUUAACUCUUAUAUUAUAAACAUAAAAUAAUACGUAAUGAGCACUUUCUACUCAAGCAAUAAAAAGCCCAAAUAUAUUUAUCCUGCAUUCAGCAGAGUGGCAUAAAAAAUCACCGGCUCCUUCAGGUUGGAAGGAAUACCUUUAUUUGGAGGCAUGUCAGUUCAUUUUUGUCACUUCAGAUUCAUCAUUAUGACUUCUUGAGGCCAGAUCUAAUUUUGAAGUAACCAGAAACCUGUCCAUCUUGGAGCAGCAAACCCCUCAACUUGGAGCACAAAUGAUCACUGAUAUGGUCUACAUAAAACCAUCUGCCUCUACUCUGACAGCCAUGAGCAGAGCCCUGGGGGCAAAAAAAGCCACAGCCUUAAAUCUCUUUACUCAGAUAUUACCAAGAAGAUUAAAAAAAAAAAGAUGAAAAGGACUGAAGAAGCAAACCUACAAAAAACCAAAAAGCAAACAAAAAAAUCCAUCUUAUUUUACCAUUGAAAUUAGUCCCAGAUGUGAACACCAAAAAAUUUAUAUUCAGUAAUUCAGCCAGUAAAUUAUAAUUUAUCAUUUGGGAAGGUGGAAGUAUAGAAAUAGGUAUCUGUAGCCAGAACUACUCAGCAUUUCAAAAUAUGUAGACAAAAACAAAACAAAUAAACAAAACUGAACAAAUGAAGGAACACUGCAGCAAUGAACAAUAUUAGAACAGAAUGUUGCUGUUUGCAAAGAGGACGUUUGCCAUCUUCUGUACACAUUCAAAGCCAUAACGGAAUAAGAGUAUUGUCAAUUGCUUGAAAAUUUUCUGCAUUCAAUCCUUCACCCCAUAUUGGUUGAGAGAGGAGGGGUCAGUUCUUGCUGAUUACUUCUCAAUGAACUUCUACUAUUUGCACUGUCACUUCCAUUCAGGGUAAUGAUGUGUGCUGUUAUUUGCACAGAUGGUCCCAUGAGUUUUGAGACCACAGCAAAGUUUCUUGCAGGAGUCCAAAAAGGAAACAUUUAAGAAUUCUCCAGACAUUGAUUUCUCUUUCUUCUAUUAAAAAUCAGUUAUCUAAUAAAAAAUGGACUUGUCUCAGAUUAAAGAACAACUACAAAAUAAUAAUGAAAAAAAAUCAGUGUGGUCAAAUGAAUGAAAAAGGGUUCAAAAGGUUUUUUUAGUGAGGAUCAUUUUAUAUCAUUAACAGCCAAGAAGUCAAAUACAGUGGACUGUACACUAAACAUCUGUGUUGAACAUCUAUUUGUUCUCUUAAUUAACAAAACCAUUUGUAAUUUGUAUUUGACAUAAGAGAUUUUUAUAGCCAUUUAUCUAUGCUUCAUGGGAAAAUGUA